UACAGAGGUCUCAAGCGUUGUUCGGAUUCAUUGGGCGUAAAGGGUGCGUAGGCGGCGCGGUAAGUCGGGUGUGAAAUCUCGGAGCUUAACUCCGAAACUGCAUUUGAUACUGCGGUGCUUGAGGACUGGAGAGGAGACUGGAAUUCACGGUGUAGCAGUGAAAUGCGUAGAUAUCGUGAGGAAGACCAGUGGCGAAGGCGGGUCUCUGGACAGUUCCUGACACUGAGGCACGAAGGCCAGGGGAGGCAA
rnacentral:rRNA from 1 species